rnacentral:rRNA from 1 species
GACGAACGCUGGCGGCGUGCUUAACACAUGCAAGUCGAACGGAAAGGCCCUGCUUUUGUGGGGUGCUCGAGUGGCGAACGGGUGAGUAACACGUGAGUAACCUGCCCUUGACUUUGGGAUAACUUCAGGAAACUGGGGCUAAUACCGGAUAGGAGCUCCUGCUGCAUGGUGGGGGUUGGAAAGUUUCGGCGGUUGGGGAUGGACUCGCGGCUUAUCAGCUUGUUGGUGGGGUAGUGGCUUACCAAGGCUUUGACGGGUAGCCGGCCUGAGAGGGUGACCGGCCACAUUGGGACUGAGAAACGGCCCAGACUCCUACGGGAGGCAGCAGUGGGGAAUAUUGCACAAUGGGCGGAAGCCUGAUGCAGCAAAGCCGCGUGCGGGAUGACGGCCUUCGGGUUGUAAACCGCUUUCGCCUGUGACGAAGCGUGAGUGACGGUAAUGGGUAAAGAAGCACCGGCUAACUACGUG